UACGUAGGGCGCAAGCGUUGUCCGGAAUUAUUGGGCGUAAAGCGCGCGCAGGUGGUUUCUUAAGUCUGAUGUGAAAGCCCACGGCUCAACCGUGGAGGGUCAUUGGAAACUGGGGAACUUGAGUGCAGAAGAGGAAAGUGGAAUUCCAAGUGUAGCGGUGAAAUGCGUAGAGAUUUGGAGGAACACCAGUGGCGAAGGCGACUUUCUGGUCUGUAACUGACACUGAGGCGCGAAAGCGUGGGGAGCGAACAGG
rnacentral:rRNA from 1 species